rnacentral:rRNA from 1 species
AGAGCGAACGCUGGCGGCAGGCUUAACACAUGCAAGUCGAGCGGGCGUAGCAAUACGUCAGCGGCAGACGGGUGAGUAACGCGUGGGAACGUACCUUUUGGUUCGGAACAACACAGGGAAACUUGUGCUAAUACCGGAUAAGCCCUUACGGGGAAAGAUUUAUCGCCGAAAGAUCGGCCCGCGUCUGAUUAGCUAGUUGGUGAGGUAAUGGCUCACCAAGGCGACGAUCAGUAGCUGGUCUGAGAGGAUGAUCAGCCACAUUGGGACUGAGACACGGCCCAAACUCCUACGGGAGGCAGCAGUGGGGAAUAUUGGACAAUGGGCGCAAGCCUGAUCCAGCCAUGCCGCGUGAGUGAUGAAGGCCCUAGGGUUGUAAAGCUCUUUGUGCGGGAAGAUAAUGACGGUACCGCAAGAAUAACGCCCGGCUAACUUCGUGCCAGCAGCCGC